UGAACGCUGGCGGCGUGCCUAACACAUGCAAGUCGAACGGGGUACUGGCAGCGGAGAUUCGGUCGAGGCAGCCGUUAACCUAGUGGCGGACGGGUGAGUAACGCGUGGGGAACCUGCCCUGGUACUGGGGGAUAACAGUGAGAAAUCACUGCUAAUACCGCAUAAGCGCACAGCAUCGCAUGAUGCAGUGUGAAAAACUGAGGUGGUACAGGAUGGCUCCGCGUUGGAUUAGCCAGUUGGCGGGGUAACGGCCCACCAAAGCGAUGAUCCGUAGCCGGCCUGAGAGGGCGACCGGCCACAUUGGGACUGAGACACGGCCCAAACUCCUACGGGAGGCAGCAGUGGGGGAUAUUGCACAAUGGGGGGAACCCUGAUGCAAGCGACGCCGCGUAAAGGAAGACGUGCUCCGGCAUGUAAACUUCUAUCAGCAGGGAAGAAGAUGACGGUACCUGACUAAGAAGCCCCGGCUAACUACGUGCCAGCCGCAGC
rnacentral:rRNA from 1 species